CUCAAAUGGCAACCCGGACUAUUUGCAUUCUGGCAACAGAGUUUGACUAUUAGCCAUAGCUAGCAAGCAAGGACCUACCUCCAGCCUACCUGGUUAAAUAAAUAGAAUGGAAAGGGAUAGGAAUGUUGCCAGCGAAAAUGGCAACGGAACAUAAAGAACGAACAACUGGGUCUUGUCUAGUUAAUCGAACGAACGACUGGGUAACGUCUAGCAACCAAAAUAUGAAAAGCUUAGACUACAGGGAUCACAGAAACCACACACACAGUUAAGACAGAGCCUAUGAACAACAGUGAGACUGACUACCACAGAAAGCAGCACUGGACAGCCAUGCAGGCGAAGGAACUAUCUUUCAUGCAGUGUGGUUGAAAUGGACAAUCAAAGACAUCUGCUGUUGCUGCAUUGAAUAAUAAAAUUGCCAUGCAAUCUAAUGUCUUG